rnacentral:rRNA from 1 species
GAACCUAUUGUAAGGGCCCGGGAAAGGGGCUUUACCUCUUUAUAAACCCAUUGUAUGUCUCAUAGAAGGUAAAUAUGUUUCCUCCCCUUAAAAAAGCGUUGAUAAACUUAUACAACUUUCAACAACGGAUCUCUUGGCUCUCGCAUCGAUGAAAAACGCAGCGAAAUGCGAUAGGUAAUGUGAAUUGCAGAUUUUCAGUGAAUCAUCGAAUCUUUGAACGCACCUUGCGCUCCUUGGUAUUCCGAGGAGCAUGCCUGUUUGAGUGUCAUUAAAUUCUCAACCCCGAUCGAUUUGUUUCUACUUCUGGGCUUGUAUCUGGAGUGUGCUGGCGUCUGUCGGCUCCUCUUAAAUGCAUCACCGGAAUCUAACGUUUCUGAUGUCAGUGUGAUAAUCAUGUUGCGCUGUCUGUCUGAUCUGAAAGCCCGCUCACAAUGGUCUUCGGACAACUUUAUCAAAUUUGACCUCAAAUCACGUAUGACUACCCGCUGAAC